CAGCCGCCGCGGUAAUACGAAGGGUGCAAGCGUUACUCGGAAUUACUGGGCGUAAAGCGUGCGUAGGUGGUGGUUUAAGUCCGUUGUGAAAGCCCUGGGCUCAACCUGGGAAUUGCAGUGGAUACUGGAUCACUAGAGUGUGGUAGAGGAUAGUGGAAUCUCCGGUGUAGCAGUGAAAUGCGUAGAGAUCGGAAGGAACAUCUGUGGCGAAGGCGACUAUCUGGGCCAACACUGACACUGAGGCACGAAAGCGUGGGGAGCAAACAGGAUUAGAUACCCCCGUAGUCCCUGUCUCUUAUAU
rnacentral:rRNA from 1 species